rnacentral:rRNA from 1 species
CCUACGGGAGGCAGCAGUGAGGAAUAUUGGUCAAUGGACGGAAGUCUGAACCAGCCAUGCCGCGUGCAGGAUGACGGCUCUAUGAGUUGUAAACUGCUUUUGUACGAGAAUAAUAGUUCUUACGUGUAGGGAUUUGAAUGUAUCGUACGAAUAAGGAUCGGCUAACUCCGUGCCAGCAGCCGCGGUAAUACGGAGGAUUCGAGCGUUAUCCGGAUUUAUUGGGUUUAAAGGGUGCGCAGGCGGUCUGUUAAGUCAGCGGUCAAAGCCCGGGGCUCAACCCCGGCCCGCCGUUGAAACUGGCAGUCUCGAGUUGGAGAGAAGUAUGCGGAAUGCGCGGUGUAGCGGUGAAAUGCAUAGAUAUCGCGCAGAACUCCGAUUGCGAAGGCAGCAUGCCGGCUCCACACUGACGCUGAGGCACGAAAGCGUGGGUAUCGAACAGGAUUAGAUACCCCAGUAGUC